ensembl:lncRNA
GUGCUCCACCAGGACCAGAGGCUGCCUUACUGCCCAAUCCAGGGCCAGGUGAAGUUCCUGCAGCAGCCACUCUCUUCCUCCAGCUCUCCUGGAGUCCGUAGAGCCGCCGUUUCGGCAGGCUCCAAUCCCAGCAAUGGAGACCUCUGGUCAGUGGCCCCAGGAUUCCACCUCAGCUGGACCUCCUCGAUUGAAUCCACCUCUCCCGGACAAAAUCUCAGAACUACACUGCCUGCUCACAGGUCAGUGCUGCCUCUUGGCACAGACAGAAACCUCCAGGGAUUCAGGUGAAAGGCACACUGCCCUUUGAACACCUGGAAGUGGACUUCACUGAAAUGAAACCUCACCGACACUACAAUUACCUGCUGGUCAUAGUAUGUACGUUCUCGGGAUGGGUAGAAGCUUUUCCUACCCGAACUGAAAGGGCAUCAAAGUAGCCUGGGGCCUGCCUAGGGAGAUAGUUCCCAGAUUUGGAUUCCCUACCAGCAUUGGAUUGUACAAUGGCCCGGCUUUCAUAGCUGAUUUAGCAUAACAAGUAAGCAAAACUGUAAACAUCAAGUGAAAAUUACAUACAGCAUAUAGGCCCCAGAGUUAUGGGAUAGUGGAAGGAACCAACCAGACGCUUAAAGAGACACCCUCCACGUGGAUCUUAGAGACUGACUGUUCCUGGGAGGACUUGUUUCCGACGGCUCUGCUCAGACUCAGGAUGACCCCACAGUCCCAUGGCUCUUCUCCGUACAAAAUAGUGUAUAGGAGGCCCCCUCCCAUACUGAAACAGGUGUCAACAAAUUUGCCUCAGGUAAGGGGAGAUGAGAUUUCACAGCAGAUGGGACAACUGGGUAAGGUAAUAAACCAGGUAGCUAAGUUUGUACAAGAAAGGGUGCCAUUCCCCCUUGGGGAACAGAUUCACGAAUUUGUGCCCGGGGGUCAGGUGUGGUCAAGGACUGGAAACACGACUCCUUGGCCCCACAUUGGAAGGGUCCAUAUACUGUUGUCCUAACCAGCCUGACUGCAGUGAAAGUUGCAGGUGUCACCCCCUGGACCCUCCGCAUGAGGGUGAAGAGGGCACACCAUGCAGACUGGAGGACGCCGAGGGCACGACACAGAGGGACCCACUGACCCCCGCGAAACCAAGAUCAUCUUAACGAAGAAACAGAGGUGAAGCUCUACAGCCAGCUGCUGCUACAAGGACUUGCUGGCAUCAUCUCGAGACUAACCAUAGUUCCAGUACAAAGAGGGACCUGCGCUAUAAUUAAGGUGAACGUUGUGUAGAUAUUCCUGAUUUACCUGGCAGUAUGUCAGCCACCCUAGAUGACAUGAAAGGUCAGGUAAAAGCUAUGACUGAUGAUAAUAUUCCUUUUUGGACUUCGGUCCUAUCUUGGGUGAAGGGUGAUUGGUGGAAAACGGUAUUUACCAUUGUUAUAGUUGCCUUGAUAGUUCUGCUUUGUGGACCCUUUAUUUUUACAAUGUGUUAAGAACUUUGUAACCCAAAGGUUGAUGUCUUUCUCCCAAAUUGGAGAUCGGAGAGUGCAAUCUAUCCCUAUGAAUGAUGCUUAUACUAUGAGUUAAGAGCAUCAAGAGGGGGAAUGAAGGAGGAAACAGACAGAACAGGCUCCAUCUUGAAAGCAGGACUCCAUCUUGGGCCGGCCUGUGGACUUUGAGUUAUAUUCCCAGUAUCUAUGGAAACGACAUACCAACUGGAAUACCAGGCCCCCUGGAUGGAAGAGCCCCAGGGCUCAUACCUAGACUCUCUGUUGCCUAAAAGAAUACCUGAAUUAUCUGUGUCACCGAACAGAAUCAUAAAUUCUAUUAUGCUUAUUCGGGUAUGACCACAGGCUUAUUGAUAAAUGUCCACUGAAAACUACCUAGGCUUAAAGCAUAUGAAUCAUGGGUUAACUUUGAUUGUAUCUUUCUUUUCCUGUGUUCAGACUAGUUAGUUUCAGGGAAUUUGGGGAGGUGGGUUUGGGCACGUACACUUAGGGUAUAUAAGGUUUUCGGAAAAACUGGUUGGGGUCCUUGGCUAAGAGGAGACUCUGCCUUGGGCCCGCCGGUGUAACAAACUGCACUCCGCUAUCUGCACUCUCCUUCUGAGUGAGCUUGUUUCCCAGAACGCGUGGCUACAACACUCUCGACAUAGGGAACCCACAUUUGAUCCCUAGUUAGGGAACUAGAUCCCACAUGCCACAACUACAACCCAGUGCACUCAAAUAAGCAAAUAUGUUUUAAAAUUUCCUGGCAUUCCCUGGUGAUGUAGUGGUUAGGACUCCAUGCUUCCACUGCAGGGGUCAAGGGUUUGAUUGGGAGACUGAUCAGGGAACUACUGAACAAGGGUGAUCCCUGAUCAGGGCCUCCCUCAUAUCUCAGUUGGUAAAGAAUCUGCCUGAAUGCAUGAGACCCCGGUUGGAUUCCUGGGUCGGGAAGAUCCACUGGAGAAGGGAUAGUUUGCCCACUCCAAUAUUGUGACCUGGAGAAUUCCAUGAACUGUGUAGUCCAUGGGGGUUGCAAAGAGUCAGACACGACUGAACAACUUUCACAGGGCCCUGAGGUCCCGCAUGCCGUGUGGCGUGGCCAAACAACAACAACAACAAAACAUUUCCUGGUGAACAUCCCAAGCAGGCGCUGAGAGGAAGGAGGCAGAAGCCCUGCCUUUCCAGGGGCCUCAUAGCCAAGCAGAGAUGUCCUGGGAACAAAUGCCAGAGCCUGGACAGAGCCCCACGGGAGCCCAGAGGUGCAGGGAUG